UACGUAGGGGGCAAGCGUUGUCCGGAUUUAUUGGGCGUAAAGAGCGUGUAGGCGGCCUUACAGGUCAGCUGUGAAAACUCGAGGCUCAACCUCGAGACGUCGGUUGAAACCGUAAGGCUAGAGUCCGGAAGAGGAGAGUGGAAUUCCCGGUGUGAGCGGUGAAAUGCGCAGAUAUCGGGAAGAACACCCGUGGCGAAGGCGGCUCUCUGGGACGGUACUGGACGCUG
rnacentral:rRNA from 1 species